AGCGAACGCUGGCGGCAGGCCUAACACAUGCAAGUCGAACGGACCCUUCGGGGUUAGUGGCGGACGGGUGAGUAACACGUGGGAACGUGCCUUUAGGUUCGGAAUAGCUCCUGGAAACGGGUGGUAAUGCCGAAUGUGCCCUUCGGGGGAAAGAUUUAUCGCCUUUAGAGCGGCCCGCGUCUGAUUAGCUAGUUGGUGAGGUAACGGCUCACCAAGGCGACGAUCAGUAGCUGGUCUGAGAGGAUGACCAGCCACACUGGGACUGAGACACGGCCCAGACUCCUACGGGAGGCAGCAGUGGGGAAUCUUGCGCAAUGGGCGAAAGCCUGACGCAGCCAUGCCGCGUGAAUGAUGAAGGUCUUAGGAUUGUAAAAUUCUUUCACCGGGGACGAUAAUGACGGUACCCGGAGAAGAAGCCCCGGCUAACUUCGUGCCAGCAGCCGCGGUAAUACGAAGGGGGCUAGCGUUGCUCGGAAUUACUGGGCGUAAAGGGCGCGUAGGCGGAUCGUUAAGUCAGAGGUGAAAUCCCAGGGCUCAACCCUGGAACUGCCUUUGAUACUGGCGAUCUUGAGUAUGAGAGAGGUAUGUGGAACUCCGAGUGUAGAGGUGAAAUUCGUAGAUAUUCGGAAGAACACCAGUGGCGAAGGCGACAUACUGGCUCAUUACUGACGCUGAGGCGCGAAAGCGUGGGGAGCAAACAGG
rnacentral:rRNA from 1 species